AUACCCUUGACAAUUUGACCUCAAAUCGGGUGGGACUACCCGCUGAACUUAAGCAUAUCAAUAGCGGGAAGGAAGAC
rnacentral:rRNA from 1 species